ACACCAGUUAAUAGUCUCUGCUCAAUUUGAAAAUGUUUUGCAGAGCAUGUUUUAAAACAGAACUGGUAAAGUAAAGCCACAGUACGAGCCUUGAAGAAAAUCUGUUGUCUUUGAGGUCCCAAGAGAUGGCUACAUCU
ensembl:snoRNA